UACGUAGGGUGCGAGCGUUGUCCGGAAUUAUUGGGCGUAAAGAGCUCGUAGGCGGUGUGUCACGUCGGCCGUGAAAACCUGCAGCUUAACUGUGGGCGUGCGGUCGAUACGGGCAUCACUGGAGUUCGGCAAGGGAGACUGGAAUUCCUGGUGUAGCGGUGAAAUGCGCAGAUAUCAGGAGGAACACCGGUGGCGAAGGCGGGUCUCUGGGCCGAUAUUGACGCUGAGGAGCGAAAGCGUGGGGAGCGAACAGG
rnacentral:rRNA from 1 species